rnacentral:lncRNA from 1 species
UUUAAAUAAUUAACAAUCGUAAAACACCAACUCCGGUCUGUUGAAGUCCUGGUUUGUUGAAAUGCUCGAACCCAGAGCGACGGCUUUUCGAUUAUUUCUCUCCACUUUCCUUCCUGAAAUAAGGGCUGUUAAAAAAGGGGUUGAGAGAAGAAGAAUAGACCCCAAAUAUGGAAAAGAAAUGGGGGUUUGUUUGGUUCUCUGUGAGAUAAGGUGGAAAACCGUGUUUGUGUUAUUUUUUGGGGGGGGACUACAAGUUCCAGAAUCCCACAGGCUUUGUGGGAGUUGUAGUCCAAAACCCCCAAACAAUUGCAAACCUCCAAGUAGGAUAAAGCACAUGCAUCUGGCCAUUCCAGGAACUUCUGAAGAAAAUAAGGGCCCGGCGAGGAUGAAUUCUCUGUCGUUACCGCCGGAGAUACGGGCAACGUACAGGUUAAAAUCCCGAGCACUCAGUCCUGGAAAAGUUAAUUUGUAACUGCGGUCUUGCUGAAAACGAAGGGAUAGAGCGAUGGUCUGCGCACGACGACACUGGGAGCGGUAUGCAUUUUUAAAAGGCUGGACGUGCUUGAUAGCUACCGGAAUCGCAGUGUCAAUAUUGAUCCCAACAAGUGUAGUGUACGACAGGUGUGGACCGUGCUCUGUAUCUCCUCCUCCUCUCCUGCCAGAAUCAUGUGGAUGUGAACACAUGUCCUUGCCAAACCCUUCCAAGUCCUUUUGGCUGCCAACACCGCCACACCCUCUACUUUCUACACAUAGCUUUGCUUUGGGAAGGCGCACCCUUGUUUGUCAAAGAAUAA